UACAGAGGUCUCAAGCGUUGUUCGGAUUCAUUGGGCGUAAAGGGUGCGUAGGUGGCGCGUUAAGUCAGGUGUGAAAUUUCGGAGCUUAACUCCGAAACUGCAUUUGAUACUGGCGUGCUUGAGGACUGGAGAGGAGACUGGAAUUCAUGAUGUAGCAGUGAAAUGCGUAGAGAUCAUGAGGAAGACCAGUGGCGAAGGCGGGUCUCUGGACAGUUCCUGACACUGAGGCACGAAGGCCAGGGGAGCAAACGGG
rnacentral:rRNA from 1 species